rnacentral:lncRNA from 1 species
AUGGGAUCAGCACUUUCUGUCCUACCCCUUGGUGCUGCACCCAGCCCGGAUGGCUCUCGGUCACCUGGCUGCUUCCCAUCCUCCAGACAUCGCCUCCCGCGAGCCCUGCCUGAAUCCAGACACGACAGCUGGGAGACAGAUAGUGUAAGGAGUACAUCCAAGAGUGCCUAUUCAGCCUGAGCAAGAGCAGAAAAUACUGUACAGAAAUCCUGACAGACAGGCUCUUCGCAUGAAACUUUCAUCUAAACUUUACUACAUACCAAAGAUUGAACUUUUAAUUGGCCAAGGAAGAAACUUAUGGAUAUGUACCUAAAGCUGCAAACUGUCAGAUGUUCACCUAUCAUAAUGAUGUCCUGCUGCCAUGCAUUCUAAUUUUUCACCAUCUAGCAUGAAAAUAAUAAAAUAGAGCCACCAGCAACCA